UGUUAAAGGUUUUAUCAUUUUUUAUCGUUAAAAAUUAGAGUAACCAUUAGAUAACUUGACAGUUGCACGUGGUAUGUCACUUGUACUUCAUGUUGUUGUACAGGGAUAAGUUUUAGCCGUAGAAAUAGAUGAAAUUUUUAACA
rfam:Gossypium hirsutum cultivar TM-1 chromosome 10, whole genome shotgun sequence